GAGAAGGGUGCUUCACCUCUGGAGUCUUCUUCCAAUACACUAUAGCCCCAAUCUAAUCAUGAGUAAAGCAUCACAUGAAUCCCCAUUGAGGGGAUAUUCUUAAAAAGUACUUGACUAGUAAACCUCAAACAUUUCAGAGUUAUCAAAAGCAAGGAAAGUUUGAGAAGCUUUCACAGCCAAGAAGAGCCUGAAGAGACAUGAUAAACAAAUAAAAUGGUGAAUCCUGGAUGCAGCCCUGGAAAAACAACAAAGCGACCUCAGGUUAUGUCUUCUUUUAUAAGACUACCCACUGCCUCUUCUCAAGUAUAUCUGAAGUAUGGCUGGUUGGAGUAUAUCAGGACCCUCAGAGGAGAAAAGCAUAUAAAACCAGCACACCUGAACCCAGGAACAUGGACAGGACUCUGGAGUGUG
rnacentral:lncRNA from 1 species